UCAGCUUUGGUGCAGUAGGUAGCGUGUCCGUCUCGCAAGCUGAAGGUCCCGAGUUCGAUCCUCGGAAGGAGGG
rfam:Monodelphis domestica chrTn_v05.000068 genomic scaffold, whole genome shotgun sequence.